ensembl:lncRNA
GUUGCGUAUAUGAUAGAUAUAGUGAAGUAUCAGACUGCAGGUAAAUAAGGCAACACAAAUGCCCACCAGACAUGUGGUGACAUUCCCACAUCGUUGAUGUAUGAAAACAACAGUGAAGUGUUUGUGUGAAACGAGAUGCUCUCUCGCUCUACAAUGCAGCGGUGAUCUGCCUGUAAUGCAAAGGCCACAGAUCAUGCAGUAAACUCUGCUCUGGUAGCCUCAAAGCUGUCCUCGGUUGCUCAAAAUCCAACUACAGAGAUGGAGGAGACUGGUGCGCCAUUUGUUUCCAGUGCACUGAGUAAUGGCUGCCACUGGGCUCUCCCAAAAAGACAGGCUGUUUCAGACUAGACAUACAAAGAAAUACGCUGGCUGGUGUGUACACAAAUGUAAAUGUGCGCAAAUUAAUUAACAAAAAGCCC